rnacentral:rRNA from 1 species
AGGACGAACGCUGGCGGCGUGCUUAACACAUGCAAGUCGAGCGGAAAGGCCCUUCGGGGUACUCGAGCGGCGAACGGGUGAGUAACACGUGAGCAACCUGCCCCUGGCUCUGGGAUAGCUCUGGGAAACCGGGAUUAAUACCGGAUGUGACCUUCUCCUGCAUGGGAGUUGGUGGAAAGUUUUUCGGCUGGGGAUGGGCUCGCGGCCUAUCAGCUUGUUGGUGGGGUGAUGGCCUACCAAGGCGACGACGGGUAGCCGGCCUGAGAGGGCGGACGGCCACGACGUGGGACUGGAGACACGGCCCAGACUCCUACGGGAGGCAGCAGUGGGGAAUAUUGGACAAUGGGCGCAAGCCUGAUCCAGCCAUGCCGCGUGAGUGAUGAAGGCCCUAGGGUUGUAAAGCUCUUUUGUGCGGGAAGAUAAUGACGGUACCGCAAGAAUAAGCCCGGCUAACUUCGUGCCAGCAGCCGC